GUGAGGAAUUUUCCGCAAUGGGCGAAAGCCUGACGGAGCAAUGCCGCGUGAAGGAUGAAGGCCUAUGGGUUGUAAACUUCUUUUCUCAGAAAAGAAUUAUGACGGUAUCUGAGGAAUAAGCAUCGGCUAACUCUGUGCCAGCAGCCGCGGUAAGACAGAGGAUGCAAGCGUUAUCCGGAAUGAUUGGGCGUAAAGCGUCUGUAGGUUGUUUAAAAAGUAUUCUGUCAAAGAUUAGGGCUUAACCCUAGAUAGGCAGAAUAAACUUUUAAGCUAGAGUUUGGUAGAGGCAGAGGGAAUUCCCGGUGGGGCGGUGAAAUGCGUAGAUAUCGGGAGGAACACCAAAGGCGAAGGCACUCUGCUGGGCCAAUACUAACACUGAGAGACGAAAGCGAGGGGAGCAAAUGGGAUUAGAAACCCCGGUAGUCC
rnacentral:rRNA from 1 species